GAGAGAUUGGCGGGGACGUCACCCAUCGUAUAGGAGCGGGGUGGUCAAAGUGGAGGCUUGCAUCAGGAGUCCUGUGUGAUAAGAAAGUUCCACACAAACUCAAGGGGAAAUUUUAUAGAGCUGUGGUUUGACCUGCAAUGUUGUAUGGGGCGGAGUGCUGUCCCGUGAAGAACUCUCAUGUUCAGAGAAUGAAUGUUGUGGAGAU
rnacentral:lncRNA from 1 species